GCCAGGCAUGGUGGCAUAUGCUUGUAAUCCCAGCAGCUCUGGAGGCUGAGGCAGGAGGAUUGCAAGCUGAAAGCCAGCCUCAACAAAAGUGAGGCCCUAAGCAACUCAGUGAGACCCUGUCUCUA
rnacentral:sRNA from 1 species